AGGGAUAGGGAAUUGCAAUUAUUUCCCUUGAACGAGGAAUUCCCAGUAAGCGCGAGUCAUUAGCUCGCGUUGAUUACGUCCCUGCCCUUUGUACACACCGCCCGUCGCUACUACCGAUUGAAUGGUUUAGUGAGGUCCUCCGAUUGGACCCGGUCCGGGCGGCGACGUCCGAGCCGGCGUCCGAGAAGACGAUCUAACUUGAUCAUUUAGAGGAAGUAAAAGUCGUAACAAGGUUUCCGUAGGUGAACCUGCGGAAGGAUCAUUA
rfam:Ciona savignyi cont_36714, whole genome shotgun sequence.